rnacentral:rRNA from 1 species
CGGGUGAGUGGCGGACGGGUGAGUAACGCGUGGGAGUCUGCCCUCAGGAGGGGGAUAACGGCUGGAAACGGCCGCCAAUACCCCAUAUGCCGAGAGGUGAAACGAAUUUCGCCUGAGGAUGAGCCCGCGUCUGAUUAGCUAGUUGGUGGGGUAAUGGCCCACCAAGGCGACGAUCAGUAGCUGGUCUGGGAGGAUGAUCAGCCACACUGGGACUGAGACACGGCCCAGACUCCUACGGGAGGCAGCAGUGGGGAAUUUUCCGCAAUGGGCGAAAGCCUGACGGAGCAACGCCGCGUGAGGGAUGAAGGCCUCUGGGCUGUAAACCUCUUUUCUCAAGGAAGAAGACAUGACGGUGCUUGAGGAAUAAGCCACGGCUAAUUCCGUGCCAGCAGCCGCGGUAAUACGGGAGUGGCAAGCGUUAUCCGGAAUUAUUGGGCGUAAAGCGUCCGCAGGCGGCUCUGUAAGUCUGUCGUUAAAGCGUGGAGCUUAACUCCAUUUAAGUGAUGGAAACUACAGGGCUUGAGUGUGGUAGGGGCAGAGGGAAUUCCCGGUGUAGCGGUGAAAUGCGUAGAUAUCGGGAAGAACACCAGUGGCGAAGGCGCUCUGCUGGGCCAUAACUGACGCUCAUGGACGAAAGCCAGGGAGCGAAAGGGAUUAGAUACCCCUGUAGUCCUGGCCGUAAACGAUGAACACUAGGUGUCGGGGGAAUCGACCCCCUCGGUGUCGUAGCCAACGCGUUAAGUGUUCCGCCUGGGGAGUACGCACGCAAGUGUGAAACUCAAAGGAAUUGACGGGGGCCCGCACAAGCGGUGGAGUAUGUGGUUUAAUUCGAUGCAACGCGAAGAACCUUACCAGGGUUUGACAUCCUGCGAAUCCCUUGGAAACUUGGGAGUGCCUUCGGGAGCGCAGAGACAGGUGGUGCAUGGCUGUCGUCAGCUCGUGUCGUGAGAUGUUGGGUUAAGUCCCGCAACGAGCGCAACCCACGUCUUUAGUUGCCAGCAUUCAGUUGGGCACUCUAGAGAGACCGCCGGUGAUAAACCGGAGGAAGGUGUGGAUGACGUCAAGUCAUCAUGCCCCUUACAUCCUGGGCUACACACGUACUACAAUGCUACGGACAAAGGGCAGCAAGCUCGCGAGAGUUAGCAAAUCCCAUAAACCGUGGCUCAGUUCAGAUCGUAGGCUGCAACUCGCCUACGUGAAGGAGGAAUCGCUAGUAAUCGCAGGUUAGCAUACUGCGGUGAAUACGUUCCCGGGCCUUGUACACACCGCCCGUCACACCAUGGAAGUUGGCCAUGCCCGAAGUCGUUACUCCAACCCUUGUGGAGGAGGACGCCGAAGGUGGGGCUGAUGACUGGGGUGAAGUCGUAACAAGGUA